AACGAACGCUGGCGGCGCGUCUUAAGCAUGCAAGUCGAACGGUAAGGGAGAGCUUGCUCUCCCCUAGAGUGGCGGACUGGUGAGUAACGCGUGGGUGACCUGCCCUGAAGAUGGGGAUAGCUAGUAGAAAUAUUAGAUAAUACCGAAUGUGCUCAUUUACAUAAAGGUAAAUGAGGAAAGGAGCUACGGCUCCGCUUCAGGAUGGGCCCGCGUCCCAUUAGCUAGUUGGUGAGGUAAAGGCCCACCAAGGCAACGAUGGGUAUCCGGCCUGAGAGGGUGAACGGACACAUUGGGACUGAGAUACGGCCCAAACUCCUACGGGAGGCAGCAGCUAAGAAUCUUCCGCAAUGGACGAAAGUCUGACGGAGCGACGCCUUGUGAAUGAAGAAGGCCGAAAGGUUGUAAAAUUCUUUUGCAGAUGAAGAAUAAGAAGAAGAGGGAAUGCUUCUUUGAUGACGGUAGUCAUGCGAAUAAGCCCCGGCUAAUUACGUGCCAGCAGCCGCGGUAACACGUAAGGGGCGAGCGUUGUUCGGAAUUAUUGGGCGUAAAGGGUAUGUAGGCGGUUAGGUAAGCCUGGUGUGAAAUCUACGAGCUCAACUCGUAAACUGCAUUGGGUACUGCUUGACUUGAAUCACGGAGGGGAGACCGGAAUUCCAAGUGUAGGGGUGGAAUCUGUAGAUAUUUGGAAGAACACCGGUGGCGAAGGCGGGUUUCUGGCCGAUGAUUGACGCUGAUAUACGAAGGUGCGGGGGAGCAAACAG
rnacentral:rRNA from 1 species